rnacentral:rRNA from 1 species
CAGUCGCCGCGGUAAUACGAAGGGGGCUAGCGUUGUUCGGAUUUACUGGGCGUAAAGCGCACGUAGGCGGACUUUUAAGUCAGGGGUGAAAUCCCGGGGCUCAACCCCGGAACUGCCUUUGAUACUGGGAGUCUUGAGUUCGAGAGAGGUGAGUGGAAUUGCGAGUGUAGAGGUGAAAUUCGUAGAUAUUCGCAGGAACACCAGUGGCGAAGGCGGCUCACUGGCUCGAUACUGACGCUGAGGUGCAAAAGCGUGGGGAGCAAACAGGAUUAGAUACCCCUGUAGUCCCUGUCUCUUAUAC